rnacentral:rRNA from 1 species
UACGUAGGGUGCAAGCGUUAAUCGGAAUUACUGGGCGUAAAGCGUGCGCAGGCGGUUUUGUAAGUCUGUCGUGAAAGCCCCGGGCUCAACCUGGGAAUUGCGAUGGAGACUGCAAGGCUUGAAUCUGGCAGAGGGGGGGUAGAAUUCCACGUGUAGCAGUGAAAUGCGUAGAGAUGUGGAGGAACACCGAUGGCAAAGGCAGCCCCCUGGGUCAAGAUUGACGCUCAUGCACGAAAGCGUGGGGAGCAAACAGG